AGUCGAGGGGAAACGACAUCGAAAGCUUGCUUUUGAUGGGCGUCGACCGGCGCACGGGUGAGUAACGCGUAUCCAACCUGCCCACCACUUGGGGAUAACCUUGCGAAAGUAAGACUAAUACCCAAUGAUAUCUCUAGAAGGCAUCUGAAAGAGAUUAAAGAUUUAUCGGUGAUGGAUGGGAAUGCGUCUGAUUAGCUUGUUGGCGGGGUAACGGCCCACCAAGGCGACGAUCAGUAGGGGUUCUGAGAGGAAGGUCCCCCACAUUGGAACUGAGACACGGUCCAAACUCCUACGGGAGGCAGCAGUGAGGAAUAUUGGUCAAUGGACGAGAGUCUGAACCAGCCA
rnacentral:rRNA from 1 species